CCUAGGAAAGACAGACAAAGCUAGAGCCUUGCCCUGAGUGGGGUCCCUGGGAAGCUCUGAGGGGUCUCCCAGCACCCACUCUCCUGAGGAACUCUGCCAAGGAGAUUCAUUUGGGUGAGAUGUGGCUUUUCUCAUAAAAGCCAUCUGAAAGGCCUGUGGCAAUGCAGAUGGAAACCCCGUCACAUGCUUCCCAUGUGCUGACAAGAGCUCCUCAUUGUGGCCUAGGAAUCUUUCCAAGAUGUGUCCAGGCUCAUCGCCUAUCUUGUUCCCCUCCUUCUCUACCCUUUAGCCUCCCUGACCUCCUUUAGUUACUGGAUGCAGAAGGCCUUGCCUGUUAGUCCCAGCUCUCUCCAUAGUCCUACGUGAUGGAUCUCCAGUGUGCCAACUGCCUGUGCCAGUGUCUGAGAAGCAUCAUGCUCUGAAGACUGACCCAGAAGGCCUGAUUUGAACCCCCAGUUCUGCCACUUAAUAGCUACAAACCUGUCCUUGUGUAUCCUCUCUAUAAAGCGGGAUUGUUGAGAGUUAA